CACGUAGGCACCAAGCGUUGUCCGGAUUUAUUGGGCGUAAAGAGCUCGUAGGCGGUUCAGUAAGUCGGGUGUGAAAACUCUGGGCUCAACCCAGAGACGCCACCCGAUACUGCUGUGACUUGAGUACGGUAGGGGAGUGGGGAAUUCCUGGUGUAGCGGUGAAAUGCGCAGAUAUCAGGAGGAACACCGGCGGCGAAGGCGGCACUCUGGGCCGGUACUGACGCUGAGACGCGAAAGCGUGGGGAGCGAACAGG
rnacentral:rRNA from 1 species